rnacentral:tRNA from 2 species
GCCCCGGUGGCACAGUUGGAUAGCGCAGUCCCCUCCUAAGGGACAGGUCGCCGGUUCGAAUCCGGCCUGGGGCACCA